rnacentral:lncRNA from 1 species
CUGGCAUUUGGGCAAUAAUUUGGGCCAAUGAUGAGGCAACAUUGUUGGUCAUGGCACCAGUGCUACUACCCACAUCAUCAAAAUAAUCAUUGCCACUUUUCGUCGCAUUCUAAGGUCUGAUAUUUGCCAGGAGUUUGGGCUGAUGAGAGUCAGCCGUUGCUGAUUAUGGCGCCAAUGUUGCUACCCUCUCAUCGAUGUAAUCAUGAGCCUCUGCAUCCCCAUUCCGAUAUUUGACAUCCGGCUUACAGGCUUUUAACUUGAGCCACUAUUUUCUUGACGUUGUUUCUCAUGACAUUAGCAUUGGGACUCCCAGCAUGUGCCGACAACUUAGGGAGGCGCCCCCCAGCUCUGGCACCGCUGGUCAUGGCAUUGAUCUCUGGCAGCUGGUUGAGCUAUCUCAGAUAGUUCCUCCUAGAUUGUUUGUUGCCUGAGGGUUGCUCUUGGUCCGUUGCGUAUCUUUGACGAAGUUCCAGACUUGAUUUUAGACACAUAUGAUGGGCAGUAGGGGGUUCGUAUCUACAGGGUACUGGUUUUCAAGGCUCCGAGUGAUCCUAAGAUUCGUGGUGGCUAGCCUGAG